GCGACACUAGCUCAUUUGGUAGAGCGCAACCUUGCCAAGGUUGAGGUCACGAGUGCGAACCUCGUGUGUCGCU
rnacentral:tRNA from 1 species